rnacentral:rRNA from 1 species
GUGACGAGCGGCGGACGGGUGAGUAAUGUCUGGGAAACUGCCUGAUGGAGGGGGAUAACUACUGGAAACGGUAGCUAAUACCGCAUAAUGUCGCAAGACCAAAGUGGGGGACCUUCGGGCCUCAUGCCAUCAGAUGUGCCCAGAUGGGAUUAGCUAGUAGGUGGGGUAACGGCUCACCUAGGCGACGAUCCCUAGCUGGUCUGAGAGGAUGACCAGCCACACUGGAACUGAAACACGGUCCAGACUCCUACGGGAGGCAGCAGUGGGGAAUAUUGCACAAUGGGCGCAAGCCUGAUGCAGCCAUGCCGCGUGUGUGAAGAAGGCCUUCGGGUUGUAAAGCACUUUCAGCGGGGAGGAAGGCGAUAAGGUUAAUAACCUUGUCGAUUGACGUUACCCGCAGAAGAAGCACCGGCUAACUCCGUGCCAGCAGCCGCGGUAAUACGGAGGGUGCAAGCGUUAAUCGGAAUUACUGGGCGUAAAGCGCACGCAGGCGGUCUGUCAAGUCGGAUGUGAAAUCCCCGGGCUCAACCUGGGAACUGCAUUCGAAACUGGCAGGCUAGAGUCUUGUAGAGGGGGGUAGAAUUCCAGGUGUAGCGGUGAAAUGCGUAGAGAUCUGGAGGAAUACCGGUGGCGAAGGCGGCCCCCUGGACAAAGACUGACGCUCAGGUGCGAAAGCGUGGGGAGCAAACAGGAUUAGAUACCCUGGUAGUCCACGCCGUAAACGAUGUCGAUUUGGAGGUUGUGCCCUUGAGGCGUGGCUUCCGGAGCUAACGCGUUAAAUCGACCGCCUGGGGAGUACGGCCGCAAGGUUAAAACUCAAAUGAAUUGACGGGGGCCCGCACAAGCGGUGGAGCAUGUGGUUUAAUUCGAUGCAACGCGAAGAACCUUACCUGGUCUUGACAUCCACAGAACUUUCCAGAGAUGGAUUGGUGCCUUCGGGAACUGUGAGACAGGUGCUGCAUGGCUGUCGUCAGCUCGUGUUGUGAAAUGUUGGGUUAAGUCCCGCAACGAGCGCAACCCUUAUCCUUUGUUGCCAGCGGUUAGGCCGGGAACUCAAAGGAGACUGCCAGUGAUAAACUGGAGGAAGGUGGGGAUGAUGUCAAGUCAUCAUGGCCCUUACGACCAGGGCUACACACGUGCUACAAUGGCAUAUACAAAGAGAAGCGACCUCGCGAGAGCAAGCGGACCUCAUAAAGUAUGUCGUAGUCCGGAUUGGAGUCUGCAACUCGACUCCAUGAAGUCGGAAUCGCUAGUAAUCGUAGAUCAGAAUGCUACGGUGAAUACGUUCCCGGGCCUUGUACACACCGCCCGUCACACCAUGGGAGUGGGUU